rnacentral:misc_RNA from 1 species
UCUCCGUUGGUGAACCAGCGGAGGGAUCAUUACCGAGUUUACAACUCCCAAACCCCUGUGAACAUACCAUUUGUUGCCUCGGCGGUGCCUGCUUCGGCAGCCCGCCAGAGGACCCAAACCCUUGAUUUUAUACAGUAUCUUCUGAGUAAAUGAUUAAAUAAAUCAAAACUUUCAACAACGGAUCUCUUGGUUCUGGCAUGAUGAAGAACGCAGC